AGUGAACGCUGGCGGUAGGCCUAACACAUGCAAGUCGAACGGCAGCACAGUAAGAGCUUGCUCUUACGGGUGGCGAGUGGCGGACGGGUGAGGAAUACAUCGGAAUCUACUUUUUCGUGGGGGAUAACGUAGGGAAACUUACGCUAAUACCGCAUACGACCUACGGGUGAAAGCAGGGGAUCUUCGGACCUUGCGCGAUUGAAUGAGCCGAUGUCGGAUUAGCUAGUUGGCGGGGUAAAGGCCCACCAAGGCGACGAUCCGUAGCUGGUCUGAGAGGAUGAUUCGCCACCCUGGAACUGAGACACGGUCCAGACUCCUACGGGAGGCAGCAGUGGGGAAUAUUGGACAAUGGGCGAAAGCCUGAUCCAGCCAUACCGCGUGGGUGAAGAAGGCCUUCGGGUUGUAAAGCCCUUUUGUUGGGAAAGAAAGGCAGCAGGUUAAUACCCCGCUGUUCUGACGGUACCCAAAGAAUAAGCACCGGCUAACUUCGUG
rnacentral:rRNA from 1 species